rnacentral:rRNA from 1 species
GAUGAACGCUGGCGGCGUGCCUAAUACAUGCAAGUCGAGCGAACAGACGAGGAGCUUGCUCCUCUGACGUUAGCGGCGGACGGGUGAGUAACACGUGGAUAACCUACCUAUAAGACUGGGAUAACUUCGGGAAACCGGAGCUAAUACCGGAUAAUAUAUUGAACCGCAUGGUUCAAUAGUGAAAGACGGUUUUGCUGUCACUUAUAGAUGGAUCCGCGCCGCAUUAGCUAGUUGGUAAGGUAACGGCUUACCAAGGCUACGAUGCGUAGCCGACCUGAGAGGCUGAUCGGCCACACGGGAACUGAGACACGGUCCAGACUCCUACGGGAGGCAGCAGUAGGGAAUCUUCCGCAAUGGGCGAAAGCUUGACGGAGCAACGCCGCGUGAGUGAUGAAGGUCUUCGGAUCGUAAAACUCUGUUAUUAGGGAAGAACAAAUGUGUAAGGAACUAUGCACGUCUUGACGGUACCUAAUCAGAAAGCCACGGCUAACUACGUG